AUCCCUAGAACAGAGCUUGUAAAUUCUAAAUUGAUUGGGAGUGGGAGAAGAUGGCUUGAUGAUUUCUCUAGCUACUAUCUCAACCUUCAUCUCCAUGCUUGUCUCUAUAUUUUGCUUUGCUAUAAACACUACAAGAAUGGAGAUUAUAUAUGUGAAUUGAGAAAGAUUAAGCUUAAUAUUAAGCUUAUUUUGCUGGACUGCCUUACGCAGUGGGUAUGCACCAGCAGAUUGGUUUUAUGUGGCUGCUGCAGAGUGGAUGAAAUGUAAUUGGUGCAGUGGGAUGAUAGGUGUUAUGCUGCUAUGGGCUGUUUGUGGCUGCUAAGUUCAAAUUUUGUUUGUGGCUGCUAUGGGCUGUUUGUGGCUUGGUAUCUGCAUUGUCUGUCUACUGUUCUGCUUCGGUUGAAGUUCUGGUAGCAGUGUCUUCGAAUUAUCAGUGCAGUGUUAAUCUGCCUCGUCCAAAUCUUGGCUGCUUCGGGUGUGCUGUGUAGUGGUAAUCUGCAGUAUGUUGGAUGUGCAUUGGAGUGCUUGAUUUCAGUGGUUUUUGUUUUCAGUGGCCUGUUCUUAGCAGGUUUUUUUGUUUAUGCUCUUAGCAGAAUUUGGAUUGAUGCUG